ensembl:lncRNA
AACGGCCAAGUCAGGUCUACGAGCCAACCCAGCCAAAUGCGCUACCCUGGCAUUUGUAACCGAUGGCCGAAAAAAGCGAGUGCUGGUGGACGAGACCCCCUGCCUUAAUGAAGACCCCGAGGUUCCUGGCAUGAAGCCCACCCAGACAUACAAGUACCUCGGGAUCAAGAUAAGCAUGAAGGGGAAGGUCAGAGGCCCGCAUCAGGGAGAUUCUGUCCAGUCUACGAAAGGCCCCUCUCAAACCCCAGCAGCAGGUCUUUAUAGUAAAACAUCAUCUGAUACCAAAGAUCUACCACCAGCUUAUCCUUCAAAGGGUAACGGCCAAGCUUCUGCUGACGCUGGACAAGAUCGUCCGAGGUAAACUUCAGGCGGCACUGAGACAACCGUAGGACAGUCCGCUGUGCUUCAUAUACGCCCAUCCCGCAGACGGGGAACUGGGUAUCCCCUGCCUGCGACCAGCAAGCUGGCAACUUCGCCACAACCAUGGAGACAGUGGCCAGCUGCGUCUGAUCUGCCUGAUGGCCUCAGCUUCACUCCACCAGGAAGUUCACCCUGUAACACACGCACAGACAGAGACACACCCACAAAUACCCUGGCAGUGGCCCUGGGGCCGUCACACUGGAGAGACACCCAGACUUCCAGUGUCUUGCCAGAAACAACCUAUUGUAUUUCCAACACCAAUACAUAGUGUCGGCAGCACAAGAACGGAAACAUUGGAAAGGGAAACUGCUGGGCAGCCUAUACGGAGUGGUUCUAUAGAACAUAGGCGAAAUUCCUUUUGUGAAUCAAUGGGUCACCGACGGCAUGAGACUCCUCUCUGGGUACAAUACCUCAAUUGGACUAAUGAAGGGUGCGAUUAUAACAAUCCCCGAUGUUUAAGACUGUGAUUCCGCAAGUCGCAAACCGAGGUCAACCACCCUCUAAAAGAGGAAUAAAAAAUACGCCACUUGCUCGGACAAAAUGCGAAGAUGUCAGCCUUCAAAGUGUCUGUUGUCUGAGAGACGUGCAAUGCUGACACUCUUUGCUUUCACUUUUUCCUGGCAAGGAUUAUGAAGAAAAAAAAUAUCAGGAUGCAAGUGAUAUCAGUAAAUAUGAACUCUGAGACAGUGCUGAAACAGGAAGCUGGGCCCCAGAAUGAGUCUCGGCGAGGUAUGUCUGAGAAAAACAUGUCAGGACUAAAAGCAUGUCUGUUAUUUGAGUGUGGUACUUCUCAGACAGUAAUUAGCAAUCAUCAAUUCUUAGCAGCCAGAAUGUAUAAACCCCUGUAGCCAAUUGGAUCGCUUAGAGAUCAGAGCUUGAAAACUACCAAAGAGGUUCAGAUUUUUUUCUUCGGAGCCCAAUACUGAAGCCAAAGUUUCAGAAAUUAUGUUUCUGCAAUCGCCAAAAAAAAUGGUAGCAACACAUCUACUGCCCCUCCCCCUCUCUAUCCCCGUGUCUAUGUGUUGGUGUAUUUCCACUGUCUCUGUAUAUACAGAUGGCUACUGGGUCUGAGAAGGCGGAUGGUGCUGGGGAGGCGCAGGGUCGCAUGAGAUGGCAGCAGGACGCUGGAGGCAGGAAUGCAGCACAUUUAAAGGAUACGGCAGCAGCUGAUGGGCUAGCAAAGAGGGUUCGACCCAGUAUUGGAUGUUGACUUAGCCCAAGGGAAUUACCCACAAGUCAUUACAACGUGACGUCAAAAACGGAAUAACAAAGAAGACGGCACACAUGUGUUCAUACUGUCAUAAUACAAUUUAUUCAUUUAAAAUAUCAAGGAUUAAAAGAUGUAGAAAAAACCCAUGAAAUGAGACAAUAUUUCGUUUCGUUCUAUUCAUGAAAUAUAUAAAAUGUUGUCUUUUUGACAAAAAAAACAUAAAACAAAAAUGACCUUAUUUCAUAAGGAAGUAGCCUGAAAGACGUUACAAUCAAAGAAUAAAACCCCUCAAUUGUAAAUUGUAAUUUUUUACGUUGUCUGUGUGUGACGUGACAUGUAGCAAUAAAGUGCUCUCCAAAUCACAUUUACACAAUUUAAAGCCCUCACAGACUGCACUCAACCACUCACGAGGUGACCUCAGUUAAGUCCCUCAGGGUUCAGGGUUUAGGCUUUAGGGAGGAGAUUGGGAUUGGGCCAGUGUCUGCUCUGACAGUGACAGCCGGUAUAGAAUAUGCGCUGCUGGAGCAGUAUGAGUGAGAGGCCUACGAGCCAAGCGUGAGGGGAGGGUCCUCCUGUCUGAACUUACGCUAGAGUUGCAUAACGAUAUUGUGUCGAUGGUGAACACUGCACAGUCAACACAACGCAAUCACACACAUGACAGGUUUCAUAGUCCUGAGCUGCUGGGUAAUUUAAAGAUAAAUGUGUCUAACUAACUAAAAAAAAAAAAAGUGAUAAGAAAUUAAAGAAAUGCUAGUCUGAAAACAAACUACUUUGACUCUUUUGAUAUAUUGCAGAAAUAAAAAUAUUUUUUCUUUGUGUUAUCUAUCCUGUUAAUCACCAUGUCAAUCUUUCUGCUAAAAAAAUAUUGUUUACCAAGGUGUAUAGCAAAUAAAAUUACUUUCAGACCAAAGUUUAAAAAAAACAAAUUACUAGACCAUGAAUCUAAUCCUCCUCAGGAGACACGGUCUAGGUUCAAAAUUAAGCAAUUUAAUUUGUCACUUGUGUACAAGUUAUAUGUUUAUCAUUUUAUCAUGUGACCUCCUCAGAGUUGGAAAAUACUUCUCUGACAGCGCUGAAGGUGAACUUGUACCGUCUUCCUGUGAAAUAUACUCACGGCUAAUUUAACAAUAUGAUUGAUUAGUAUAAGGUUUAUUAAUGCUGUUUUAUCGGAACAAACAAUGGACCUAAUGAAACAUACAAAUACUGCAAAAAAAAGUUAAUGGUUGUCCCUCCAUAUUUCUUUCUUACACAAUUUAUAAUGUCAUACGUCUUAGCAUAGUUUCAAUACGCGUGGUCUGGACCAUCGGAAAGUAAGAAAAAAAACUGCCGCCCUGGCAUCACGUCUGAAGCUUAGUACAGUGACCAGGGUGUUUAUUUUAAGCCAAACCGUGAUGUGAUUUCUAAUCCUAACUAAAUGCUAUUUUUAACCGCCACUAUUUUCCAAUAUAAACCAUGUGCAUACCUUAAAGCACAACAUACUAAUAAUUCAUGCAAAUAUGCAGCCGAAAAAAGUGACAAAAGUAACAUGAGACAAACAAACAAACAUUUUUGAUCACAAAUCAAAAUGACAUGAACAAACUAUCACUAAAUUAAAAAAAAAAGAAAAAGGUAUUUCAUUUUAGUUAUUGGAUCCAAAUGGAGGCAGUUGCAGUUUGGUGCCAUAAAACAGAGUUCUUGUUGGGGACAUUUUUAGAAGUUUUGAAACAGACAGGAUUAUGUAAGGCUUUAUACAGGAUACAUUAAGUGCAUUGAUGCGAGGAGAUGGCUUGUGUGUUCUCGUUUUUUGUAUUGGUAAAAACAAAAACUGGCAGCAGUAUUCUGAUAAGAGGGUUUUUUGAGGAGUAAUGUAAAACAAGUUUUCAUAAUCAAAAAGGCUUGUAAUAAAACCCUUCAUCAUCAAAGUUCUCUUAAAAGUUCAAUGCUGUGUGCGGACCACUGAAAGUGACUCAGAUGGCAUUAAAAGCAUUUGGACAUGAUGAGUUUAUUUUGUAGCGUCAUAUUAAAAACAACAAAUGUCGACCAAAGCCCUUACAGAGAGAUGAAAUAAAAAUCACUAAAAUGAUCAAAACAGAAACACAAGCAUAAACUGCACUCAGUAGAGCGCAGACAACCGCCAGAUGUGUCUUCAACUACCAAUUAAAUUUGUGAUUGCAUUUUAACUAUUUCAUUUAAACACAAAAUCAAGCAGCCAUAUACGCAGGUCAUAAGCAGGUGUAUAAGACAAACAUAAUCAAGGAUGAACUCCGUCUCUCUCACAAAGCUCUUGUGGCGAUGUACUUUGUAGUAAUUGUUGGGAGUAGUAAUGAACAAUAAAAGGUAGACGAGGCUGCGAUGUAUGACAUCAGUGGGCCGUAAAGGCAUCAUGAGUCAUAAACUAGCGGCGAUGGAUGCAAGCCAUCGGUUCCAAGUUGUCCGUGAAAAUAUAAUAAAAAAUAAAUUAAUAAAAGCAUAGAAUACCUUGAUGAAAUUGAAACACUAAGCAUUGUAAACACAAAUAAAUAAAAGCUCUCAAUAGCAUGUCUUCAUGAAGAUCAUUCAGAGGAGAGAAAAGAGAUGGUUAUUUAGGUUAGUAUUUCAACCUGAGCGAAUAAGAGAGUAAAAUAUAUUAGCUUUCAUUUUAUUUACAUUUGUUCUGUAAAUAGAGAAAUAAACUAUCUAUCAUGCUAAUCCAAGAUGGACAUCCACAUUUGUUCUUCAUCCAUACUGCUGCUGCAGCAAGACAACAGGUGCCUGUGAUCCUAAAACCUGCCGGCGCCAUUGAUCAGCCAGCAUGAAAAAACCCCCAUCCAUGAUGAGGCAAAGCGAUCAGGCCUCACCCGAGCAGCACCACCUGCACGUCCCAUGGAGGUGCUGCACUCCUCUUUGUGACCAGAUGGGGGCAACACAUGAAACCCUUGAGGCCUUGCCAGCACUCGGAGCGGCUGCAAACGAGGGGCCGAAACAAAGAACAAAUGAGGGGGUGCGACGUACAAAUCCCUUUUUAAAAACACAUAAUAAGGUGCUUUAUUUUUAAUCCCACAAAUAGGAUUAGAGCACAUGAGAUUCAAGGGGGUUUUCUUUCUUUUUUUUCCCUUCCAGUGUUUGGACACAGGAAGCAGUGAAUCGGCCACAUGGCCGGACUACCAACGACAGCUGAGACGGAAGUAGAGGCUUUGCCAACUGUCUGGCUCAUUCUUCUAGUAGGCCUGCUUCCCUCAGGCCACUCACAACCAGCGCAGGAACACUGUCAAUUAUCAGCGCACACUCGCAGCCCCCACGUGUUACCUGGGGAGGAGGCGGUGCGGGACGGGGGGGGGUUGAGGAAAUGGGCUUGCGCUGCUUCCCUUCAGGGGUAACUUCAAUCAAAAGUAUUUGUGCAGAAACACCGAGACAAACUGGGGUGGGUCUGAGUUCCUUUAAAAAGGAGAACUGUAUUAGAACGCUGCUCGAUAGAUGUCCCAUCACAAGACGAUAACUCGCAGUUUGAAGGCUUCUUAAUUACCAGCUGGCUUACGUCAAGGCGAGGCACCAAAGGAAGACUAAAACCUCAUGAAUAUAUAUUCACAAUUUUUCCUUAACAUGUAUUCUUCUUUUGUGCAGUGGCACAAUGUGUCAAACGGGAAAUACAGUCCAAUGGACUGGUUGAAUAAGUCGUAUCAAUGCAGUUUCACAUGAUGAUGAUGGAUUACACUAAAUGAUGAGCUUCACCAAACAAAAAUGAAUCAAUAAAAUCCUGAGCAAUACGUCAUCAUAAACAAACGUCAUACUGUGCUUAUAGCAAUGUAUUAUAGUUAUGAACAGCCAUGAAUAUGAAUAGUGCUGUCAAAGCAUUAUGUCAUAAUACUUCACGAGAGCAAGGAGAACGCAAAAUGUUGCCCUUUUUUUCUCACUCACUGAUGACUUUGAGUAACUAAAAGUCACAAUAUAUGAUGCAUCACACAAAAGUAUGCAAUGGGAUGGAACCGAGCGUAACGCUAUGAAAAUAUGUCACAUUAACUUAAUACUGAGGCUUGAGUGUCCAACAAACACACCCUCGGCUCACAUCCGACCCUCCCCAAAGUCCCUUCGCACAGCUCGGCUUUUACUUCACACCAGAGGUGCAGGCUUCCGGUGAGACCCGAGGAACAAUGUCGGGUACCGAAGUGUGACUGCUUACACCCCCCCCCCCUGCAUCCUCCCCUCCCGCCUCCCCUACCGCACUCCAGAGGCAUUAUUGGGCCAGAGCGCGCGUGCGCCGCUAUAUGCACUGAGGCGGGAGACCCAUCCAGCAUGAAUAAAUACAGCAGGGAAGUGGUCCCGGAGGUGGCUCGUGUCCGUCAUUUAAAGCAGCAGAGGUGUAGCUACAUGUGACGGGCGCUCGCGCCCAUCUCCUCUCCAUCCAACUCUACUUGUCC